CCAAAAAUAGGCCUUUAAAAGACCCCGGCAAAAAUGCAACCCCCGAUCUUUUAAAUAUUCCAGGCCCCAGAUCCAUAUAAUAUGGUAAAGAUCUCUAUUUCCGGUAUGGCGAUAUCACACCUAAAUAAAAACGUUAAACAGACUCGAAUUUUUCUUGAGAAAAGAUGAACAGAAGAUAGUUAUUCAACUUUUCUAGAACAAGCACUUAUUCAAGAUCGAGCUACGCAUUAUACCACUCCAAUCCAAAUACAUAAUUUGCGGCUUUUAAAUCCCAUGUCACACGGCAAGGAUUCCAUUAUGGACAUCCGGGAAAUUAUAUAAAACCCUUCCCCAUCUAAGUAAAAUCGCUUGGCUGUAGCUGUGGCCAGCUAGUCUUGCUUUGCAGCUAUGGUGGGAUCAUCUGAUCCUUUGGCUGGGAUCUCAUGAACCACCUCAACCGGCCUUUUCUCUUGCUGUCCUUGCCCCGCGGACGACCGGUAGUCCACCGUCUCUACCGUCUUCGUCUCCUUAACUCCUUCCCCACAUGGCGGAGUUUUGGUAGUGGAGGUGGUGGUGGUAGUGCCCUGUAACAAUAUAAAGCAAUACCAACAAAUUAAAAGGUAGAGGCCUAGAAAAGACUAACGAAGAACAGAGAAAUAGAUGCACAAAGAGUAGACAACAAAUGCUUGCUUGUUACCUUUGCAGCAUUCAUUUUGGUGAUUAACAGUCCUUUUGUUUGGUACUCCGAGGAGAUUGGAAAGAAGAGGUUGAUGCUUGAGGUUAUUUGUAUGAAGUAUGAACCAAGGAAGCCGUGCUUGAAUAGGUUAUCCCGGAGAAAAGGAGGCGACAGGUGUUGCGAAAG
rnacentral:lncRNA from 1 species